CUACACGACCGUACCGCAAACCGACACUGGUGCGCGAGAUGAGUAUUCUAAGGCGCUUGAGAGAACUCAGGAGAAGGAACUCGGCAAAUUGACACCGUAACUUCGGAAGAAGGUGUGCCUUUAGUAGGUGAACCUGUACAAGGGGAGCCCAAUGAGGUUGCAAAAAAUCGGUGGCUGCGACUGUUUAAUAAAAACACAGCACUCUGCAAACACGAAAGUGGACGUAUAGGGUGUGACGCCUGCCCGGUGCUGGAAGAUUAAAUGAUGGGGUGCAAGCUCUUGAUUGAAGUCCCAGUAAACGGCGGCCGUAACAAUAACGGUCCUAAGGUAGCGAAAUUCCUUGUCGGGUAAGUUCCGACCUGCACGAAUGGCGUAACGAUGGCCACACUGUCUCCUCCUGAGACUCAGCGAAGUUGAAAUGUUUGUGAUGAUGCAAUCUCCCCGCGGAAAGACGGAAAGACCCCAUGAACCUUUACUGUAGCUUUGUAUUGGACUUUGAACAGAUCUGUGUAGGAUAGGUGGGAGGCUUUGAAGUGUGGUCGCUAGAUCGCAUGGAGCCAACGUUGAAAUACCACCCUGGUGUGUUUGAGGUUCUAACCUAGGCCCGUAAUCCGGGUCGGGGACAGUGCAUGGUAGGCAGUUUGACUGGGGCGGUCUCCUCCCAAAGCGUAACGGAGGAGUUCGAAGGUACGCUAGGUACGGUCGGACAUCGUGCUAAUAGUGCAAUGGCAUAAGCGUGCUUAACUGCGAGACUGACAAGUCGAGCAGAUGCGAAAGCAGGACAUAGUGAUCCGGUGGUUCUGUAUGGAAGGGCCAUCGCUCAACGGAUAAAAGGUACUCUGGGGAUAACAGGCUGAUACCGCCCAAGAGUUCAUAUCGACGGCGGUGUUUGGCACCUCGAUGUCGGCUCAUCUCAUCCUGGGGCUGUAGCCGGUCCCAAGGGUAUGGCUGUUCGCCAUUUAAAGAGGUACGUGAGCUGGGUUUAAAACGUCGUGAGACAGUUUGGUCCCUAUCUUCCGUGGGCGCUGCAGAUUUGAGGAAGCCUGCUCCUAGUACGAGAGGACCGGAGUGGACACACCUCUGGUGUAUCGGUUGUCACGCCAGUGGCAUUGCCGAGUAGCUAUGUGUGGAAGAGAUAACCGCUGAAAGCAUCUAAGCGGGAAACUCGUUUCAAGAUGAGAUCUGCCGGGGCCUUGAGCCCCCUAAAGAGUCGUUCAAGACCAGGACGUUGAUAGGUCGGGUGUGGAAGCGCAGUAAUGCGUUAAGCUAACCGAUACUAAUUGCUCGUGCGGCUUGAUC
rnacentral:rRNA from 1 species